ensembl:snRNA U6 U6 spliceosomal RNA
GUUAAAAAACUUCUUGUGCUCAACAUAUAAUAAAAUUGGAACAAUGUGGAGAAGAUUAGCCUUGCCGCCAUAUAAGGCUGAUGCACAAAUUCCCAAAGCAUUUCAUAUUUUU